GUGCCAGCCGCCGCGGUAAUACGGAGGGUGCAAGCGUUAUCCGGAUUCACUGGGUUUAAAGGGUGCGUAGGAGGGCAGGUAAGUCAGUGGUGAAAUCUCCAAGCUUAACUUGGAAACUGCCGUUGAUACUAUCUGUCUUGAAUACCGUGGAGAUGAGCGGAAUAUGUCAUGUAGCGGUGAAAUGCUUAGAUAUGACAUAGAACACCAAUUGCGAAGGCAGCUCGUUACACGAAUAUUGACACUGAUGCACGAAAGCGUGGGGAUCAAACAGGAUUAGAAACCCCUGUAGUCC
rnacentral:rRNA from 1 species